rnacentral:rRNA from 1 species
GCCUGAUGCAGCCAUGCCGCGUGUGUGAAGAAGGCCUUCGGGUUGUAAAGCACUUUCAUCGGGGAGGAAGGGAGUAAAGUUAAUACCUUUGCUCAUUGACGUUACCCGCAGAAUAAGCACCGGCUAACUCCGUGCCAGCAGCCGCGGUAAUA